rnacentral:rRNA from 1 species
UAUCUCUGUAGAGUCUGCAUAUCAAUAAGCGGAGGAAAAGAAACUAACAAGGAUUCCCUUAGUAACGGCGAGUGAAGCGGGAAGAGCUCAAAUUUGAAAUCUUCAAGGUUCUACCUUGACGAAUUGUAGUUUAAAGAAGUGUUUUCUGUUAGAUGAGUAGCAAAAGUUCCUUGGAAUGGGACAUCAUAGAGGGUGAGAAUCCCGUAUUUGGUUAUUCAUUCUAGCUUUGUGAUACACUUUCAAAGAGUCGGAUUGUUUGGGAAUGCAGUCCAAAAUGGGUGGUAAAUUUCAUCUAAGGCUAAAUAUUGGCGAGAGACCGAUAGCGAACAAGUACCGUGAGGGAAAGAUGAAAAGAACUUUGAAAAGAGAGUUAAACAGUACGUGAAAUUGUCAAAAGGGAAGCGUUUGACACCAGUGUUGUUUUUCCGAAAAUCAAUUACGAAUGGCUUGAUUUUGUGUUGUAUUGACCUUAUCAGCUUUCUUCACUUUUUUCGAGUCUUUCUUAAUGCACUUUUUGGUUAACAAGUCAACAUCAAUUUCUUUUGUUGUAAAAGAGUAUUCGGAAGGUGGCUUUCUUUUCGGAGAAAGUGUUUAUAGCCCUAUACUUCUACAAUCGGAGAGAUUGAGGUCUGCAGCGUAGAUCCUUCGGGGUUAGAUACACUUGUGCUAAGUUGUAGCUUUUCAUAGACAACUUGUUGACUAUGUUUAGUCAUGCGGCUUACUCGCUUAUGCUAUUUUACCUACGCUUAGGAUGUUGACUGAUAUGUAGUCGUA